rnacentral:sRNA from 1 species
GGGUGUGAAGGAUUUCUGAUUGUGAUGUUCAUUACCCCCCUGACCUGACCCGGUUUGUUCAGCUGUUCAGCCUGGCUGGCCAAGUGCCCUUCCCUAACUGCCCCUCAUGAAUCUCUCCUGCACCUGCAUGUUCAUUUGAAGAGAAUGACCUUUUCAGCACCAGAGACCUUCAGUCAAGGGGACAAACAGCUCUAUACCUCUGUCUACAACCUGCCGACUGCCUCCUGCUUUCAUUUAGCGCAGGAUUCAAAAGGUGCAAGUUAUAACUGGCUCUACUUAGUUUACGUUCAAAAAAUGUCUAGAGCCCAUUGAACUUGACUUU